AAUCUGUCGGAUUUCUCAUUGCCAUGCCUUUAUUUUGUCAAAUGAUCAGAGCGCCGCAGUCAGCUGAAUUUGAGCGCUGUAUUGACUGAAGCUGGGACAGCACAGGCAUCAUCACCCUCCCCUUACCACUAAUAUCACAUAAUGAUUGAGCAGCUAAGCAAUUAAAUGUACAUAUAAGAACGAAACUACGCGUGAGACGCGCAUUCAAGCGUACUGCUUCAAUGUGAUUACAUACAGGCAGCACCUCCACGGCCCCCGCAUUCACCCACAACUACACCAGCGUAUAAAAUAACUACUAGCAUUGCACAGCGUAGUAAUCGUCUGAGUGUUCCUUCAGCCAGAAGCUCCGUACAGUCACCUGAUCGGAACAGGCUUGUGAGAAAACACCCUUAUCUCUCUUUCACAACGGGGAAAGGUGUGGGAAGAAAAUGAGGAUUUGUCUUUCACCAUUCACAUUAAAGAGAUGACCCUUUCCAGUGGAAUGUGAAACAGACCCUGACUGCAUUUCAGCGGCUUCUGAGUUGUUUGGAAGAGGGUCCUGAUUUAUCAUCCAUUUCUGAUAUUGUGGAAAGCUGGCGGCAGCCUGCUGAUGACGAGUUUCUAGAAAAAGCCAGACUGCAACGUGAAGAUGUAUUAAAGGAGCUGGUAUUGAAUCACCCAGCUGGGCAGAGUAAGGAGCUCUUCAGUUUUCUACAGCCCCCAGAAUCCCUGCUUGAAAGCAAAGAGCCUUUCAUGGAAGUGUGGAGGCUUGUGAGCAAUGUAGUUUCCUUCUUCGCCCCUGGCGAGAGGGAGGAAGAGGUGAGGAUGUAUAAUUCUUUUAAAGAUGCAGUUUAAAAGGUUGAUCUAUUUCUUUGCACACAGGAGCUAGUGCAGAGCUUGAUGAUGUGUUUUACAGUAUAACCUUCACCUGCUGCAAGUAGAUGGGGUAACUGACAGAGGGGGUGCUGGCUCAACCGGAGACGAGGUCUGCAGGGAGGACGGCGCCCAUUCGGGAGACAAACCAAAUCCGGAUCAGUCCAACAUAGCGUAUAGAGCCCUCCUGAUUGGAUCAGCUGACAGUGAGUGUAAUCUAUCUGACUCUGAAGACUCCGAGAUGGAAUGCUGUAUUAAGGAUUCCGGUUCUAAGGCAUCCCUUCCAAAUGGAAUCCCCCCUUGGAAUUCAGCUGAUGUGGUCAACUGUAAAAGGUUAAGAGUCAAGACUGAAAAAGGACAGGCUAAACUCAACACCAGGCAAGAGACAAAGACAGAGAAACCUGAGAAGGAAGCGACCAGAGUAAUUUUUGAGCUUUUAAAAGAAAUAACUAGUAAGUUCAGCAUGAUACCUUGAAACGGUCACAGGGUUACCUUGUAAGAAGGCCACAGAGAACAGUUUUAUUUAACCUGUAUCCUGAUCUUCUGUUUCAGAUAAUUCAUUGCUUGUACAUUGUUUUAAAUUGAUUCCAUCUUCCUAUCUGGCACUGUAAGUUGAACCAGGUUUUGUUUUUAUAUUGAUUUGGUUAUUAAAUGCAAGGUGGCACACAACAAAGUAUUUUUUCCAAGUCUGGCAGAACGAGGACCAUCAAUUCCUGUUCUCUUUUCUUGAAUGGGAAUGAUUGUAUAGUGAAGGUAACAAUGCUGUGCUAACCCUUGAAAUGUAGGAAUAACUGAUUCACUGAGUCAAGUGCGCUGGGCUUAAAGGUGGUGGAUUUGAUGUAUAUUCGUGCUGAUUUCUAAAAUUAUUACUGCCCCAGGGAUGGAAAUAAAACUAGAACUCGAUUAGCCCCAGUAUAUAGGGAACAAGCUCAGGUGUGUCUUAUAAACUCAUAGUACAAUCUAGCAAACUGCUUUGCAAUGGGAGUCUUAGUUGCAUCACUGCUUAUCUUAUGCUCAAAUGACUGCAGAGUUUGUGACUGACUUUCCAUUCUGGAAUACAUUACAAGUUAAUAAGUAUAAUUCAAUGAAGUGCUUGAGGUCAGGGUUUUAAUUGGUCCAAUUUAUGAAUUGAGUACACGAUUGGAGCCAAUGAAACAGUGGGCUUCUUUGAAACUCAUUCGGUCCUCUGAUCCCAGGAAGGUGUUUUCGAAGCUUCACUUGGACGAGAAGCAGGUGACAGCCCACGUUGAGAACCUCUGUGAGAAGCUGUGGCCCAACGGAAUACCUGCUGAGCCUAGCCCGGAGAGAACUAACACAGAGAAAACCCAGACCAAAGAGAGGGUAGAAGAACUGCUGCUGAAAAUCCUGUCUCCAUGUGAGCAAUCCUUUGAGACUAGCCUAGUAGUAUUUUUUUUACCUGCACAUUCUUUUGCAAAGAGCCAGUGCAUUGAAAUGCUGGGUGUGUAUAUUUUUUAAAAACAUAUUUGAUGCAUUGCCAAAUGUUAAACUACUGUAUGUUCCUGGAAGAGUGCAGGACUUAUAAACAAUAUGAUUAAGAAACGCCCCAUACAGCAAAUGUGGUAUUUCCACUAGUGGCAGGUUAGUGGUGCAGGCCAGAUAUUAAUUUAAGAGGUAUAUUGAGGCAACAUGGGAGUUUUAAAAAGGUUAGCGGGAUGUGAUGACUGAGGUUAGUUGAUAUUUCACAAUCAAACCAAGUUACUCCUUAUCUAGUGAAACAGAUAAGAUCUUUAAGUCGAACUUGGUGCUGAUUAACUCUGAUCGGUGUUCAUUUUACAGAUGGCUUAGUCAUAAAAGCCAAGCAUGUGAAGAGCGUGUUCACCACCUUUCAGGAUCUGGAGGCCAACAAAAUGCUGCUUUAUGUGUGUGUGUUUCCUGAGAAAUACAGAACAAAAGGAGGCUCAGGAUUUCAUUCAAGUGUGCAAGCUUCUUUAUUGUUGAGGCUGUUGCCGUCCUCUCUGAAAUGUUUAUUCUCCCUUAUAUUAUAAAAUACCAAGAAUAAUCUACAUGCCCAUUGUGAUGCUUCAGUGUUUGCACACCAUGGUGCAAACCUUUAAACCGUGGUUUAGAAUACACUGAAGCUUGCUUUCCAGACAUCAUGCUACAGCAGUGAACAGAAACAGCUGGCUAGCUGAGCAGACUCUGCAUCUUGGCAGCCCUGAGAAAUAGGAUGUGUUUGACUCUGUACAGUGUAUGUGCAAGACAUUUUCUGCUUUGCUUUCUUCUCUUUUUAGAUGCUGUUUUUGUUUCUGUGUAAGGUGCUUGUGCCUGGAGACGCAUCCUUGACUACACAGACAAUUCCCUGGCGGAAGAGACCCCUUUAGCUAAACCCAUGCACAGGGAUGACAAAAAUUCUACUUACAGAAGACAGGGUCUACUCUAAUGAUAUAAAGGGUGGCAGGUCUAAAUACUGCCACCUUUUAACUCUAUUACCAGCUGGACUUUGCUUAUGAGAGUAAACACUUUUGUAUUCCCUAAGGCAAAAGUCAUGAUACUUUUAUACGGUUUUCAAAACAAGUUUUAUAUUUUGUUAAUGGAUUAUAUUUGUCAAAACUGUGUGUUAAGUCACUUACAAAAUGUACUGUGCAUUUCUUAAGAGAGUUUGAGCAAUGGUUAAGAUUACAAGUCAAUGCUGCUUUGUAAUUCAGCCCGUACGUGGCUAGUUUCACAGACCCUGAUUAGGGUUAAUCUUGGGCUAGUUUACCAAAUGUAAACAUGAGGCAGUCCAAGGUUAGUAACAGCUUGGUGUCUGAAACCAGCUGUAUAUAACUGAGAAUGCAGUCUUACCCACAGACACAAAGUUCCAUUCCUUUUUAAUAUUAGAUUACUUUUGUACUUUUAUGUAUCAAAAUGUGUUGUCCUGAAUUUAUUAUUAAGAUGUGUGGAAAUCCUAAACUGUAAAAUAAGAGAUUUGCAUUUGUAUUAAUUUUUUUUUUUUUUUUAUUAAAGCUGGGUUUAUUUUCCUAUAGUUACACAUGGAAUGCAGAGGUUCUUUUAUUGAAACUGCAUAGCAAGAAAAUGUUUUGAAAGGACUUAAUUGCUUAAAAUAGAAGACAAAACUACUAAUAGCUGCAGAAUUAUUGCCUUUACAUUUAAGCUAAUAUAUAUUUCAAAGAUAUACUGUAAUUGACAUGCAAUUCAAAUAUACACAUGUGUAUUGCAUGAAUGUAAAAGCACAUAAUUGUCCCUCUGACUGCUGCAUAUGUGGACUGCACAGAAGUGCAAACACAUUGACACAUGUUAUCUGCUCCAGAUAAUUGAGGAUUAUACUGAUUAGCUGCGUAACUCUUAGGCAAACGGACUGUGCAAUUAACAGGAAUACACUACCUCCAGCAAGAUGAGCCUUCCUGUUGAACAGCAACUAAUACUGGCAAUAUUCUAAAACUUAUCUGUAAAAUUCUGAAAGUAAAGUAGUGCAGCAAUUGAAAAGAAAGUCAUAUAACUGGUAUAUAUAACGUCCGCCCUGGGUUUUUAUACACUGUUACAAAAUAUCAUUUGAAUGUGGCUGUUCUCUAUUACAAUGCAAACAAUUGAGCGUUACACAAAUAUAGAUACAUUGUUGUAUUCUGUAAUCAUGCCAAGUUAUUAUUAUAUUAUCAUAUUUUGCAAAUACUGAAAAUACAGUAUGUGAUAAGGUGAGCCAAAUUAGUACCAUCAUAGUGGCGGCCAAAAAUAUAACCCGCACAGAUGCAAAACAAUUUGAGAACAUGCAGCUCCAGAGAACUGUGGAACCUCUACAUAAUUGCACCUGACCCUCUGCACGUUUACACACAAGUUUCUCAGACCAGGUGAACAUCUGAACCAGAGUUCGGAAAGGACACGUCAUUGGCUCGGUUCGGUUUGUUCAUUAGUCGAUCCAGUUGUUUUAAUUGCCCAGCAGAGGCGUGUAACAAUAAAGUAUCGCAAUAAUAAUAAUAAUAAUAAUAAAUUGUACUAAAUAUCAACAGACAAAAUAACCGACCUCUUUGGAAGAGACACGUCGCUGUGUACGUUUUACUUUUCAUAUUGUAAGGUUUAUUGUUUAAAAUGAAUGAAGUUGGACUGAUUCAAAGCCACCCCUCUGUUGAGUGGAGUGGUACGGUCUGUCGCUAUCCUGACUCGGGGAAUUGAACGCCGGGUGACGAUUGCGCGUGUGGGUUCAGGGCUUUCACGAUCAUUCACUCAUAAACAGCGCUGCUGCUUUUUUCUUUUUCUUUUUUUUUUUUUUUUUUUUUAAAACCCCCAAAAUAGUUUAUGUUUCAUUUUUAAUUUUUCUUCAAGAUGUCGACCCCAGCUAGACGGCGUUUAAUGAGAGACUUUAAACGAUUGCAAGAGGAUCCCCCCGCCGGAGUGAGCGGCGCCCCUUCGGAAAAUAACAUCAUGGUCUGGAAUGCAGUUAUAUUCGGGUCAGUUUCUUUUUUUUUAAUUAUUUUUAAUAUUAUUUUAUUCAAUGCCCUUUUAUUUUCCAGGCUUAUUUUUUAAGUAAAUUUUAGCCAAGUUGUCCCGGUAGAAAACGUCAUUAUAUUUUUUGAUAAUGAAAAAAAAAAAUAAAAAUGACACGUCAGCUGUCCGAGAACAAAACGCAAAGAAAAGUCGGGACUUUAUAUUUGGUUUAACGAUCGCGAACAACACCGACAGCGACAUCGCCCUUGCACCAUCUGCUUCUGUGGGUGAUACUGUAAGACAAGCAAACAGCGUUAUGUUUGUGGCUACCUGUACAUAUUAAAAUGCGUACCGUAUUCAUACCCAGUCUCAUCUUACCAGAGUAGCACUACUCACAACUGUUUACGAGAUGCCUCGGCCUUAAGAAAAUAAAUAUAUACAUUAUGUAGGCUUGUCAGAACAAAUGCUCGCUGCUGGACUAAUGCGAUCUUUUUCAUAGUAAUCUCCCGAGGUCAUUUAAUCCGUGUAGUUCAGUAGGUCUUCUAUAUAGUAAAGUUAACCUAGUAUGCAUACCACACCCAUGUGCACUACAGCAAUUACGUGGGGGAAAAAAAAGAUUCACCCACACCGCAUUUUAAUUCUAAUACUAUUUGCAUUGUAGAUACUAGAUGGUAGAUAUUCACCCCGUUCCAGUAAUGAACCUAUGCAAGUUUAGCUGGUAGCUGACCCAAUUGCCCAUGUGAACCCAAUGCAGUUGAUCUUAUGCGAUAGCUGUGUUUUCGUUGAGCGAUAGAGCGCUGGUUUUAGCUGCAG